GGGUAAGAUUGGUACGACCAGCUCCCGCUGAACCCCCCCAGGAUCGGAAGGUAGCAAGGGUAAGCGGUCGUAGCGGUGCGAUGCCAAAUCUUACCCUUU
rnacentral:SRP_RNA from 1 species